rnacentral:rRNA from 1 species
GACGAACGCUGGCGGCGUGCCUAAUACAUGCAAGUAGGACGCAGUUGCGAACGGGUGAGUAACGCGUAGGUCACUGCAGAUUAGAGGGGGAUAACUAUUGGAAACGAUAGCUAAUACCGCAUACUAGUAGAUGGACCUGCGUGGUAUUAGCUAGUAGGUAGGGUAAUGGCCUACCUAGGCGACGAUACAUAGCCUACGUGGGAGGGUGAUCCGCCACACUGGGACUGAGACACUGCCCAGACUCCUAAGGGAGGCAGCCGUAGGGAAUCUUCGGCAAUGGGGGGAACCCUGACCGAGCAACGCCGCGUGAGUGAAGAAGGGUUUCGGAUCGUAAAGCUCUGUUGUUAAGGAAGCGGUACUUAACCAGAAAGGGACGGCUAACUACGUGCCAGCAGCCGCGGUAAUAC